rnacentral:tRNA from 1 species
CCCUGUUUGGCUCACUUGGUAGAGCAUGGCACUUGCAAUGCCAGGAUGGUGGGUUCAAUUUCAACAGGGU